rnacentral:lncRNA from 1 species
CCGCCAUUACUCUGGCCAGUAAAGUGCAGCCAGAACGAAUGGAAAAUGUAUUGUGAAAUUGGCAUCGCGCGCAUAAAAACUUCAUUUUUACCGGUUUUGGACACCUGAAUUCAACGUUUACGGUCGAAAAUCAAAAUUAGAAAGGUAAGAAAGUAUUAUUAUCUGUUUUUAUUAGCCCUGAAAGUGUUUUUUAAGUCAAAUUUUGUGCUCUUAAAUAUGGCUAGUUCGGCCAGCCAGACAUAAAAGAACAUAGCUUUUCGUCCCAUUUGCUGUAUGUUUUCAUUCGAAAGUAACAUUAAUAUUACUUGAAACGAAAUUUAUAAACUAUGAAAGUUACAAUCCAUGUACACUUUGACAAUUCAUGAACUCAUUCUUGCAAUAGAUAUACAGUAUCUCUGAUGUAUAUUACAGUGUCAGUAUAUAUGUCUUCAUCACAAUUUCUCUGCCAAGUUUAAUAAACAUGUCUUUUUAAGUUCACUGUUUUCUUGAAUUAGAUAUUUAUCUACUAAAUUUUGCCCAACUUAUUCAGAUGCAGCCCAGAUGGUAUCAAACUAUGUAGAAUAUAGUUUAUAAACUGAGCACUAUAUGCAGGCUAGUUUAUAGAUGGCUAACUUUAAUGUACUUUCUGCUUUUUCUUCCUUUUUUAGUUGGAGUUGCCAGUCUUCUGUUUUCGAACUUGAUGGUGUAAUUUAACAUGUAGUCCAUAGGAAACUCUGGACAAGAAUGGAAUGUGAUGGACACACUUUGGAGGCUCUUUAGCAAAUUAGCACCAACUAAUUUGGGCCUGUUAUACACAAAAACAUUUGACAGAAAGGAAAUGGCUGUGAUGACAAUCAGAGUUCUAGUCCUGGCUUUUAUUAGAAUUAUUACUGUACAUGUCAUUGUAUACAAGUUUUGGAUGAUGUGAUUUCUUUAUAAAAUAAAUCUUCAUGGAUGUUAUUUGCUCAAACAAUGAUGGUUAAGGAAUAUUAGUGUUGUGAAUGGAAAUUAUUUGCAGUGAAAACUGAGUGUGACAAUGUUUUAUAUGCCAAUAAACAUAUUUAUAUAUUUUUUAUAUUUUUCCAAACAAUUUGUGUGUAUACAUCUUUGUUUUGCAGAACAGGCAAAAUUGUCAAAAACAG